ensembl:lncRNA
CUGAGAUCUUAGGUCACCUAUCCUGGGAAGACGUCCCCGAACUUCCAGCUUGCCACUUCCUGCCUCCUUUGGCUUCUUCUUUUUAAUAUUCGUUUAUUUGGCUGCUCUGGGGUUUAGCUCCAGCACCCAGGAUCUUGCAUUGCUGCUCACAGAACUCAGCUGUGUCACGUGGGAUCCAGUUCCCUAACCCGGAGUCGAACCUGGGCCCACCCGCGUUGGGAAGGCAGAGUCUGGACCACCAGGGAAGUCCCACUGCCAUUGCUUCUUACCACCGAAUGAGCAACCCGAUGAUGACUCUGAGCACCCAAAGGUGCCCACCCGCGUGUCCUCAGGGCCUAGCAAGUGUUUCGAAAAUAUCCGUGGAGAGACUAAGGAAGCCUACAGGUUGUGAACUUUCAAAGAUGUGGCUGUGAGGACCGGAUGGAAUUGGAGGCCCAGAGAAAGGAUGACGAGAGAAAAGAGCGAGAAGAAGAAACUGAAGAACUGAAGGGAUUCACGACACAGGAAACGGCAAGGGGAUUGUCUCUACUUACGGAGGCACUGUUAGCUUUUGCGGCACCGGACCGGAAAGUAGAAAGAAGCGUGGAAGUUGCAGCAGCCGUUCAGAAUGCAAUCCAGGGCUACUGUGGCAUCCCCGGCGAGAGAGACGAGCCACCACCCAGAAACCACUGGGUCAUUUUUUCAAGAGGACCGGUGGAAUUGAAUCUGGUGUGGAACCAGAGCUUGUGCCAGCAACGUCAGCUGUGAGUGGAACUGCAGCCUCCCUCCGUCUCUGUUGCUGACGACCCUUCGGCUCGUCCAUCGCCCACCUCCGCUCCCUCCUCCAUCUCUAACUCUCCUCGCCUGUCCGCCCGAUGCCCGCCCCGAACGCUAGCUGUUGUGCUGUGCUACUGUCCUUUUCAAGGUCCUGUACUGUAAGAUU